rnacentral:rRNA from 1 species
UACGUAGGGUGCGAGCGUUAAUCGGAAUUACUGGGCGUAAAGCGUGCGCAGGCGGUGAUGCAAGACAGGUGUGAAAUCCCCGGGCUUAACCUGGGAACUGCAUUUGUGACUGCAUCGCUGGAGUGCGGCAGAGGGGGAUGGAAUUCCGCGUGUAGCAGUGAAAUGCGUAGAUAUGCGGAGGAACACCGAUGGCGAAGGCAAUCCCCUGGGCCUGCACUGACGCUCAUGCACGAAAGCGUGGGGAGCAAACAGG